rnacentral:rRNA from 1 species
UACGUAGGGUGCAAGCGUUAAUCGGAAUUACUGGGCGUAAAGCGUGCGCAGGCGGUUUUGUAAGUCUGUCGUGAAAUCCCCGGGCUCAACCUGGGAAUUGCGAUGGAGACUGCAAGGCUAGAAUCUGGCAGAGGGGGGUAGAAUUCCACGUGUAGCAGUGAAAUGCGUAGAGAUGUGGAGGAACACCGAUGGCAAAGGCAGCCCCCUGGGUCAAGAUUGACGCUCAUGCGAAGACGUGGGGAGCAAACAGG